UACGUAGGGUGCAAGCGUUAAUCGGAAUUACUGGGCGUAAAGCGUGCGCAGGCGGUCUUUUAAGUCAGAUGUGAAAUCCCCGGGCUUAACCUGGGAACUGCGUUUGAAACUGGAAGGCUAGAGUGUGGCAGAGGGGGGUGGAAUUCCACGUGUAGCAGUGAAAUGCGUAGAUAUGUGGAGGAACACCGAUGGCGAAGGCAGCCCCCUGGGCUAACACUGACGCUCAUGCACGAAAGCGUGGGGAGCAAACAGG
rnacentral:rRNA from 1 species